rnacentral:rRNA from 1 species
UGGGGAAUAUUGCACAAUGGGCGCAAGCCUGAUGCAGCGACGCCGCGUGAGGGAUGACGGCCUUCGGGUUGUAAACCUCUUUCAAUAGGGACGAAGCGCAAGUGACGGUACCUAUAGAAGAAGCACCGGCCAACUACGUGCCAGCAGCCGCGGUAAUACGUAGGGUGCGAGCGUUGUCCGGAAUUACUGGGCGUAAAGAGCUCGUAGGUGGUUUGUCGCGUUGUCCGUGAAAACUCACAGCUUAACUGUGGGCGUGCGGGCGAUACGGGCAGACUGGAGUACUGCAGGGGAGACUGGAAUUCCUGGUGUAGCGGUGGAAUGCGCAGAUAUCAGGAGGAACACCGGUGGCGAAGGCGGGUCUCUGGGCAGUGACUGACGCUGAGGAGCGAAAGCGUGGGGAGCGGAACAGGAUUAGAUACCCUGGUAGUCCACGCCGUAAACGGUGGGUACUAGGUGUGGGUUUCCUUCCUUGGGAUCCGUGCCGUAGCUAACGCAUUAA